ensembl:lncRNA
UUCCUAUUGAUGAACACUUGUCUAAUUUCCAAACUUUUGCUCAUAAAUACUGCUGUGAUAAACAUCAUUGUAGUAAAUAAUUAUACACACCUCUAUUUAUAUUCCCAUUAUGAAUUCCUAGUAAUAUAGUUAGUUACUGGAUCUAAGGAUGUGGUUAACUGUUAGGCACUUGAUAUGCAUUGUCAAACUGCCCUCCAGAAAAGAUUUAAAUUAUCACUAGCACUGUAUGAGAGUGUCUGAGUGCUACUCGUUUUUGAAAUCCUCAUCAACAUCAAAACUAAAACUGGCAUGCUAUGGUUUCAUUUGGCGUUUUAAAAUUAUGUGUAAUGUUAAAUAUUUUUCAAAUGUUUUUCAGUCACUUGAACUUCUUUUCUUCUGAACUGUUUAUUCAUAAUAUUUUCUUUUUAUUGAUUUUCUUACUGAUUUUUAUGAGCUCAUACUCUGAAUCAACAGUGUGACCGAAAACCAAGAUAACCAACCCAGCAAUUCCCUUCCCUAGUGUGCACUGUUUUAACUGGGUCAUUUUUUCCUCCCUACUUACAACUAUUUCUCUGUUGGAUAUACACUUCCAAAGAUAACAUCAGCCAUCACCAACCCCCAACUCCUCUUCUGCAUUCUGGUUCUUCUACCCCACCUAUCUAUGCCAAGUGCUUAAACACAGCUAAAAUGUUUGUGUGUGUGUGUGUGUGUGUGUGUGUGUGUGUGAGACAGAGAGAGAGAGAGAGAGAGAGAGAGAGAGAGAGAGAGAGAGAGAGAGAGAGAGAGAGAGNNNNNNNNNNGAGAGAGAGAGAGAGAGAGAGAGAGAGAGAGAGAGAGAGAGAGAGAGGAGAGGCUCUCUCCACUUCAUAAAUACAUUACAUAAAUUGUUCUUACAAGGCUUUAUUAUCAAAAUACAACAGUGAUGGUACAUUAUGUUUUUCCAUCUUUUUUUUUUUUUUUUUUUUUCGCGGUACGCAGGCCUCUCACUGUCGUGGCCUCUCCCGUUGCGGAGCACAGGCUCCGGACACGCAGGCCCAGCCGCUCUGCCGCAUGUGGGAUCUUCCCGGACCGGGGCACGAACCCGUGUCGCCUGCAUCGGCAGGCGGACUCUCAACCACUGCGCUACCAGGGAAGCCCUCCAUCACUUUUUAAGGAAGAAUCUCCCUCAUGAGGAUAUAACCCAGGUGACUGAGUAUGCAGCUGAAAAAAAUCCUAGAAAGAUAAUAUCAUCUCAUUUUUUAAGGUUUUGUGUUUGCCUUUUUCUCUAAUUACUGACUUGGCUAAAAACUUUUGCAAAAUUUAUUUCUUUUUGAGAAUAAAAUCUGAGUCCAAAGUGCCACAUGGGGUUUAAUUUUGAUUUGUAAUGUAAAAUGCCUCUGGAGUUGGAAAGGGGGGUUGCAGGGAGAGUGGGAGGGACUGGUUAAGGGCAGCCAGUGUCUAGAAGAAGGUUUCAAGAAGACACACUGACCCUGUGUGCACAGCCAGAGACUGGCUUCUUUCUCCUGUACAAGGCCCGCCUGUGAGCCCCAAGAACCUUCUUCCUGUAAGCACCUUCCUCGGCUGAUUGAUUAGGAGAAAACUUUUAAUGAAGGCGUUAAUAAAAGAAGCUCCAGUGCCAGAGGGGUCCUGCACUAAUUAGGAUGGUGUCAGUCAGGAGAAUAACCACACAGACAGCUCCGAGUCUUUUCUCCACGGCGGGGGUGCAGGGAGCUGCCAGUUGCUGCUGCCCCUCUGCCCUCUCCUACCCACCGGGAGCCUGUUUGUUAAAAUCUGCUUCCUAGGGGCUUCUCUGGUAGUGCAGUGGUUAAGAAUUCGCCUGCCAAUGCAGGGGACAUGGGUUCGAGCCCUGGUCCGGGAAGAUCCCACAUGCCGCGGAGCAACUAAGCCUGUGCGCCACAACUACUGAGCCCGUGUGCCACAACUACUGAAGCCCACAAGCCUAGAGCCCGUGCUCCACAAGAGAAGCCACUGCAAUGAGAAGCCCGUGCACCGCAACAAAAUAGUCCCUGCUCGCCACAACUAGGGAAAGCCCACGCACAGCAACAAAGACCCAACGCAGCCAAAAAUAAAUAAUAAAAUAAAAUAAAUCUGCUUCCUACACAGUCAGUGCCCCUGAGAAUAUGUGGGCCCACCCUGCCCCAGCCAGGACCUGGGGAGGUGGCACUCAAAACUAUCUGGGAUGCCUCUAUCCUUACAGGAAGCAUUGCAGCUGUGCACGUUUCCAGGGAAGAUGGAGAGACAGCAGUUCUAAGCCUUCUCAGCCUCUCAGUUCCCUUAGCUGAGCAGAGAAGCUUUUGCCUUCCUCCCUUCGCUCUCCGUCCUUCACCUUAUAACCUUCCAAAGUGACCAACUAUCCCAUCUGUAUCAGUCAGUGUGUUCCAGAGAUUAUAUACAUAUGUAUAUGCAUAUGGAAAACACUAAGAUAUAUAUAUACGUAUGUAUAUGUAUGUGUGUAUAUAUAUGUGUAUGUGUAUAUAUGUAGAUGCGUAUAUAUAUAUAUGUACAUAUAUAUAUGAUUAAUUUGCAGAAAUUGGCUAAUGCAACUGCGGGGGCUGACAAAUUCAAAAUUUGUAGGGCAGGCCAGCAGGUUGGAAAUUCAGGCAGGAGUUGAUGCUGCAGUCUUAAGACAGA